rnacentral:rRNA from 1 species
UGCGCAGGCGGCCUGAUAAGUCAGAGGUGAAAUAUGACGGCUUAACCCUCAAACUGCCCCUGAAACUGUCAGGCUUGAGUCCGAGAGAGGUAGGUGGAAUUCCAGGUGUAGCGGUGAAAUGCGUAAAUAUCUGGAGGAACACCGGUGGCGAAGGCGGCCUACUGGCUCGGAACUGACGCUCAGGCACGAAAGCUAGGGGAGCGAACAGGAUUAGAUACCCUGGUAGUCC